UACGAAGGGGGCGAGCGUUGUUCGGAUUUACUGGGCGUAAAGGGCGCGUAGGCGGCCUUGUCAGUCAGGCGUGAAAGCCCCGGGCUCAACCUGGGAACGGCGCUUGGGACGGCGAGGCUGGAGUUCGGGAGAGGAGAGUGGAAUUCCCAGUGUAGAGGUGAAAUUCGUAGAUAUUGGGAAGAACACCGGUGGCGAAGGCGGCUCUCUGGACCGACACUGACGCUGAGGCGCGAAAGCGUGGGGAGCGAACAGG
rnacentral:rRNA from 1 species